GUGAUAUAUUACUUGCAGACCAAGCAAACUUUCCUUGAGAGAGUGAUGAUAGGAUGAAAUCUGAAGGUUUACUUUCAGCAAAUGAAGUGGGAGAGGAAGAGUGUUCCAGGCAAAGGCAACAUCUUGGCAGCUCUUUGGGGGAUGGAAGAAGACCAUGAAGCUCUAAGUGCUUCAGAGGAAUGGGGUUGCCAAAACAGAUGUGAGAGGCCCAGAGAGGAGGCUGGGCCAAUGCUGAAGGGUAUUAUUUUGGGGCUGAGUGCAGAAAUAAGAGAUGCGUG
rnacentral:lncRNA from 1 species